GCAAUACUCUUGAAAGUGGCGCACGGGUGAGUAACACGUAGGUAACCUGCCCUGGAGCGGGGGAUAACAGUUGGAAACGGCUGCUAAUACCGCAUGAGACUGGGAGGCCGGGAGGUCUUCUGGUGAAAAUCUUGGUGCUUCAGGAGGGGCCUGCGGCCGAUUAGCUAGUUGGUGGGGUAAAGGCCUACCAAGGCGACGAUCGGUAGCUGGUCUGAGAGGACGAUCAGCCACACGGGAACUGAGACACGGUCCCGACUCCUACGGGGGGCAGCAGUGAGGAAUAUUGGGCAAUGGGCGAAAGCCUGACCCAGCAACGCCGCGUGGAGGAAGACGGCCUUCGGGUUGUAAACUCCUUUUACGGGGGAAGAGGAAGGACGGUACCCCGAGAAUAAGUCACGGCUAACUACGUGCCAGCAGCCGCGGUAAUACGUAGGUGACAAGCGUUAUCCGGAAUUACUGGGCGUAAAGCGCACGCAGGCGGCGCAUUAAGUCUGACGUGAAAUCUCUCGGCUUAACCGGGAGGGGUCGUUGGAGACUGAUGUGCUUGAGGCGAUGAGAGGGGUGUAGAAUUCCCGGUGUAGUGGUGGAAUGCGUAGAUAUCGGGAGGAAUACCAGUGGCGAAAGCGGCACCCUGGCAUUGGCCUGACGCUCAUGUGCGAAGGCGUGGGGAGCGAACGGGAUUAGAUACCCCGGUAGUCCACGCGGUAAACGAUGAGUACUAGGUGUGGGUGGAGUGAAAUCCAUCUGUGCCGAAGCAAACGCGCUAAGUACUCCGCCUGGGGAGUACGGCCGCAAGGCUAAAACUCAAGGAAAUUGACGGGGGCCCGCACAAGCAGCGGAGCGUGUGGUUUAAUUCGAUGCACACGAAGAACUUACCUGGGUUUGACAUCUGCGUAGUAGUGAACCGAAGGGAACGACUCUUC
rnacentral:rRNA from 1 species